rnacentral:rRNA from 1 species
AUAACCGUGCGUAUGUAGACAUAUCACUUGUUCUUUAAAUCAGGACCAGUAUGAAUGGCCCCACGAGGACUACACUGUCUCCCCCCUCUAAUCAGUGAAACUGAUCUCCCCGUGAAGUAUCCCUAUAAGACGAGAAGACCCCAUGGAACUUUAAACUAGUACCACCUCUCUAUACAAGACCCCAUGACUACUAGUCUUUCGGCUGGGGCGACCCCGGGAAAAAAUAAAACCCCCGAGAUGAAAGGAAUUACCUUAUCUCAGAACUACUAUUCCAAGAAUCAAAAAAUGACACCAUUGACCCAAUAAUUGACCCAAUAAUUGACCAACGAACCAAGCUACCCUGGGGAUAACAGCGCGAUCCAUUUCAAGAGCCCCUAUCGACAAAUGGGCUUACGACCUCGAUGUUGGAUCAGGAAAUCCUAGUGGUGCAGCCGCUACUAAAGGUUCGUUUGUUCAACGAUUAAAAUCCUACGUGAUCU